AGAAGCCACGAAAACCACAUCGGCUCUCUGAAUAAGUACGCAUCGAAUCGCCCAGCCCACCAUACAGAGCCCACACUGCAGAGCCCCCUCUUGUUCGCGUCCGAACCAGAUUCCCCGUCCCCUCUAGGGUUACGCCCACUCUCCCCCGCCGCUCCGGCGAUGUCGUCGGAGCCUCUACCCGCGGAGUCACCCGAGGCGCCCGCUUCCGCCUCUGGCUCCCCUUCGAAGGACGCCGUCGGCACUGAGGUCGGCGCCGCUGCGGGGUCCCCGGAAACGAACACGCUCUGGGUGGGCAACCUGCCCUCGCACGUGACCGAGGGCGAUUUGUUGGCGCUGUUUGGGCCGCACGGCGCGCUCGAUUGCGCCCUUGCACGAGCCGGAUCUCGCAGCUACGCGUUCGUCCUCUUCCGUUCCCCAGCCGAGGCUCGCGAAGCCGUCGAGGCCACCCGGGGUGAAAAGGUCAAGGGGGCCGCCAUGCGCACCGAGUUCGCGCGGCCGGCUAGAGCUGUUAGAAAUCUGUGGGUUGGUGGCAUUAGCCCAUCGAUUUCAAAGGAGGAGCUUGAGGGGGAGUUUCUGAAGUUCGGAAAAGUUGAAGGUGUUGCAUUCUCCCAAGAUCAGACUUCAGCAUACAUAGAUUUUGAGAAGCUUGAAGACGCAAUUUCUGCUCACAGAUCCUUGAAUGGAAAAAUGCUAGGUGGCAAGGAAUUGUGUGUUGAUUUCCAGAGGUCCAAGGGAAGAGCGGAAUGGUCAGAAGCUAGCAGCUUCAAUGGUAGAGUACCAGGGCCAGUGGGUGAUAAGAGAGGCAGUGGCCCUCUGAAGAGUUCUGCUGGAGUGCGGAUGCGAGAGGCACAGCCUACCAAUGUUCUCUGGGUUGGUUUUCCAGGUUCUUAUAGAGUCAUUGAUGAGGAGGCACUUAAGCAUGCCAUGUCAGUAUUCGGUGUCGUUACGAAGAUAAAAGUUUUCCAGACAAGGCAGUAUGCUUUUGUUGAGUUUGCAAAUGUUGCGGAAGCUUGUAAUGCUAAGAUGAAUCUAGAUGGUCAUCUUUUCAAUGAUCCCAGGAUUCAGAUUCUUUUCUCAAACAGUGGGCUUGCACCAAACAAAUUGGACAACCCAACAUCGGUUGCUGGAUUUCCUAGUUCAGAAAUCUAUUCCAGUGAUGGUCGUCUAGGCCCUGGUAUUGGCAGUGGAACUUUGCAAGGGUAUGAUCCACCAAGAGGAGGAAGAACAAGAUAUUACGAUUAUGCGGGUAUGCCUACUCCAGGUGGUAUCCUUUCACAACCUGAACCAUUUGAUCCAAGAGAAGCAAAAAGAAUGAGGCUUGCUGCUGGUGCUGACCCUUACGAUGUAAGGGCAGGCAGCACAGGUCUUUAUUCUGCUGGAUACCGUCAUCAGGGCAGUUCUGUGCACGCUGAGGGAAGCUCAAGUCCUGUUAUUCGAGUCCGGGGCACAGUGCAUCGUACAUCAUACAUUGAGCACUGUUGGCGUGGCAGUAUUGCCAAAGGUGGAUCCCCUGUUUGUCGUGCUCGUUGUUUGCCUAUAACAAAGGGCAGUGACAUACCUUUACCGGAUGUUAUGAAUUGCUCAGCUCGGACUGGAUUGGAUAUGCUGGCGAAGCACUACGCAGAUGCCACUGGAUUUGACAUUGUCUUUUUCUUGCCAGAUAGUGAAGAUGACUUUGUUUCUUAUACUGAGUUCUUGCGUUACCUGGGCUCAAAAAGUCGGGCAGGGGUUGUAAAAGUUGAUGCAGGGACUACAUUAUUUUUGGUUCCACCAUCAGAUUUCCUAACAAAUGUGUUACAAGUUGAUGGUCCAGAGCGCCUUUAUGGUGUGGUAUUACACAUUCCACAAAUCUCUGCUGCUGCUGCACUGAGGCCACAGUUAACUGGGACCGAACAACAACCUUACUAUGAUGAAAGGGGAACUCUGCCUACUUCACAAAGAAAGUAUAGUAUCAUUUCUCCUAAUGACAGUGGCCACCUUGAUGCUGAUUAUCGGACAUCUUUGCAUGAGGAUUCAAUGCAUCGGUUGGGGCAUAUUCCUGGAAGGCCUCGGGUGGAUGAAGGACAAGCAGUUCAACCAGCUCUUGCAGGUUUUCCUGCUAAUCAAGCAGCUGGGCUGCAAGUACAAUCUUCACUCAAGCCUGACAUUAUGGCUACAUUAGCAAAACUUCUGCCUAGUGUGCAAUCGUCACCGCUGGUAAGUGGUCAGAUGAAUGCCAUAGACAGAACAUCGCAGAUACAGGAUCCAUCCAUGCUUUCAAAAGUAUGGAAUCCUGAAAACCAAGUUACUGCUUCAAAUUCAUCCUUUGGGCAAAUGGCUAAUGUUCAGCAUCCAGGACAGCAGUUUAGUGGCCAAGCUUCAGCUGCUCAUUUGACAAACUAUGGGAACAUGGUGAGUGCUCAGGAGCGCUCAAUACAACAUACUGCUUACAACCCUGAAGUUACUUUGAACUUGCCACCACCACCUCCACUUCCAACAAUACCACACAGUUCUGCUACAUUACAGUCUCAAGGUGGCCACAGUUUGCCCUCACAGACAAACCAGCAACUGUAUCAGCCAGAGCAGUAUUAUGUGCCCCAAAACAACUAUGGUCCAUUAGUUCCAGUUAGCCAUUCUAACCUUCAAAUCAGCAACACUAACAACCCCACCCUUACCAUCCCACAAGUGAACCCUGGACCUCCAACAAAUAAUCAGAUUGGGAAUUUGGCCCAGCCACAGCAUUCUAUGCCACUGCAUGUUGAUAGAGCAAGUCAGGAUUUCUCUUCUCAGGGGCAACAACAAAAUCGUGGUCCUGGUGCUGCACAAGCUCCCGAGGAGGAUAAAAGCAAGAAGUACCAGGCGACACUCCAGUUAGCUCAAAACCUACUGCUUCAGUUACAGCAGCGUGGAUCUGGAAAUCAAUCCUGAGACCUAAUUAUUGCUUCAGGUAAGUGCACCUCGUCAUUUAAUAUUUUCUGUUUGCUACAUUUUAUCUGCUUGCGCAAUCUUCAUCUAAUUAUUUUCAACCUAAUCCUAGCGUAGCUUGCAUUUCAAAAUGUAAUUUAAUGAAAUGAGUUGUUUUAAACAAUGCUAGCAACAGAGGGCUACUGCAAAUGACCAAUGUUUGCCAUCUCAAGAUUGUGCUAGGUUGGCUUAGAAUUUGCACGCCACACACAAUUAACACUGAAACACUAGAGAAACGUUUAAUCUUAGAGAUUCAUCUCCUAGCAAGUAAGGCCAGGUUGAACACUUGAUCUUAGUUUUAUUUUGCGUGCAUAAUACAUCUCUUGCCAGUUUGCUUGCAUUGAUAUGUUGUUAUCUGUGUAUUCUAGCUUGACUGUCUUGCUAGAUCUGAUCUGCACAGUUCCUUGAUAGUCUAGUGAGAGUUUCAGCAUUAGAGUAAAACAGUAGAUAAAGUCGUUGCUAAAACACCACGUUGCUUACAUGAGGCAAUAUUAGAUCUUUAAUUGAUUAAUGUAUGGACAUCUUUAAUGUAAUGGUUUUAUGAUAUCUAUACUUGAGAAGCAGUGGGGAUACCUUGAAACAAAAAGCUUCUCUUUCACCAGCUUUAACGCAGUUCUUGGUUCUCGUGGUAAAGUGUGAGUACCCAUUUCUCACAAUACGAUGAGAAACCAUGCUUCAGUAUGGUGAUUCGUCUACCUCUGCGAACCCUGCUGCCUUCUGCGUGACUCGGUUACCCCCCUGCCGCUUUCUUCUAUGUAGUAUCGGACAAUCUUUCGUAGACAAUAAUGCAGUCAACGCCUUAUCCAAAGCACCAUGACCCCGUAGUAUAUUCAUCCUUGGCAUGCAACCAACCUCGUUUCGGUCGAACAAAAAAAAAUUUGGCAUGCCUUAGAUUCAAUUAUAUCGACUUCGUCUCAUAGACCAAACGACGAAACGACAAACGGUGAACAUCGUGAUUAAACAUACCUUUUUGCUUGGUACAUACAUGCAAACUGGCAUUUGAUGGCAGCCGGCAGCGUCAGCUGCAAUCACUUGCCUGCCUCUGUUUUCACGUAGCUAGUUCAUUUGAGCAUCGAUGGCAUGUAGGAGGACGAGUGCAUUAAACGGGGUAUAAUGGGUGCGUCUGGGGACAUCACUGGUCUAAAUCGUUGGAUCCAAAUGAGCUUGUCAAUACAAACAUAUUAAUCGUUGGCCUAAAUCGUAUUAGUUUCAGCGUCGCGUCGAUGUUGUUUGCGACUUGUGCCUGUAGCGUUUGACGCUUUCGGGUCGACGCCACCGCGAAUGCUUUAUUCGCUAGCUUCACUGGUCCCCCUAUAUGUUUGUUAAUUAAAUCGCGCUGGCAAUAUGGAACAGGGUGAACUUACUACGCACCAGUGAUAGAAAAUCUUCGAAGAUAUCGCCUGCGUAUAAACAAUGCGGCAGGAGUCGCUCCGGGUGAUUCGAGGGUUCACGGCUAUCAACAGUACUCAACAACGUUUCUUUUACGUCAGGAGUACGAGGGAAUACUCUCUCUCAACACAUUCUUGCACGUUCUACAAGCGGGCGGUCACUGGCAUGUCUCGCUUACGGGAAAAACAAUCUUUUCAUCCCGGAUGCAAAUAAUCUCUUUUACAGCCUCUCAUAUCCACCAGGAGAAAAACAAAUUACUAAAAAAUUAAGAGGUAAAUUUUAAUCUGUUUUAGUGGGUCUCUAAGUGGUGGAUUAGUGGAUGUGAGGGGCUGUAAAAGAGGGUGUUUAUAUCCAAGAUGUACAGAAUUUUUUUCUCGCUUAGAACUUGUUCGGUUAUUUUUAUCUUAUAUGGAUUGAAUAGGAUUAAAAAAAAUAUAAAAGAUUUUAAAUUUAUUAAGAAUUAAAACUCACUCAAUUCCAAUCCAUAUAGACUGAGAAAAAAAAAACAAGCCGACUCGAACAUCUCCGCUCACAUGUGGAGACACGAACACAUUUACUGUUUGGUCGAUGGCCAAUGAUCCCAUGACACGUCGUUUUAUUCAACGCACUUGGUCGAUAUACACGCUUGGUCGGCGUCUGGGUGGUCGAGGACGACGACAAGUUGACACCGCACCCGGUCGGGCUUGUGUCCAUUGUUAUCUCGCUUUCUUUUAUUUGCUUUAUGUUUAUUAGUUAUUAAAGCAGUAUUAGUAUAUAGAGUGUGAAAGUACAGAGGGCACAGUUAAGAUGGUAGGUUCGUUUUCUUUUAAUAUCUUGGUUAAAAGUGGAGGAAGUAUCUAUUCUCUAUAAAUCGCUUUCGUUCUCUCUCCUUAUCGCUUAAUUUCUCUCUCUCUCCGAGGUGUUAGUGGCCCUUUUCGGACCAAAGUGAAGCUGGGCUGAAUAUUGGGGCGCUUGACACAUACGGUACCCUCGUCUCGUCUCAGCUGGUCGCAAACAACUGAAAAUAUAUAUCCCAACUCGACGGCUUCGCCUCCACUCUACAAUCGAAGCGGCCCAUGGUGUGUCAGCUCGUUGGCCUACACCUACUUGCCCCAGUUCUCCCUUUUCAAGGACAUACAUUACCAGAAAACGAUUUCUUUUUCUCCUUUUUAUUUUAUCGUGUAUUUGAUAUGGAUAAUCCGGCCUGAAUUUUGUACUCGUUUGUUAGUAUGGCCUCGUGUUAUGUUGUUAUUUACUCUGAAACCAUAUGUUAUUGUGUACGGUGCCGUGGUUCCAACACAAGGGAAGCUUGUUCAGAGACCCGUUUCA